GCCUCCAUUAGCCUGCUUGUGCCUCUGCGUUGCUGUGAGAGCUGUUCUGCGACAGUAGCAGAGGUGUUUGCCAAUGCAAUGCUGCCACGGCUGCUGCUGAACAGGUUUUUUCCUGCAUUCCCCACUGUGCUGAACAGGCACAGCCCUGUGUUGGGGGAGCAUGAGGCCUGGGAAGCACCAAGGGAAGCAUGGAGUAUUCUCCCACAGCAGGACCCGAAGGUGGAACUCUUCCAAUUCCUGCUAUUAACAGCUGUUUCAGUUUCAACAAUGGUGAUGUUUUACCCUGGAAAACUAUUAAACUGUUUCACCCAGUCUGCUAGAUCAUGAUGUUUGGAUGUCACCCAUAGAAGACAUGCCCUCCACUAAGGCCCUUAGCUGAACAAGGUUUCUUAGCUGAGGCUGAAGAGCAUAUGCGGAACACUGGUAACUGCAGACGUCUUUCAUAAAGUAAGGCAGCUGGAUAUAGUCAGCGCUAGAAACAAACUCUUCAAGAGCUUCUGACCAACAUGUUUCCUAACAUCUCAUUAACACCUUGCAAAUUGGGAUGCCAAGUCCUUGGAGGAAGUACCUACAAAAACAGCUUCCUAGAUCUGCAAAGCAGUAAACACCUAACUGCCACUUUACCUUUGAUCAGCCAGAUGGCCUACUGAUAAAGGGUAACAAGAUAUGCAAUGUCCUAUAUAUGCCUUACUUGUUUUGCUAUCUGAAGGGAUUGAAGUAUCUCUGCUUGUACAGCUCUUCUUGCCAGUUUGCUCAAGACUCCAUCCUCCAUCGUGGUAUGUUCUGUACAUAUAUGGUCAGACACAUGUGGGAACACAUGGAUAGAGGCUAUUAGGCAUUUCCCUUCCACAACUAGGCAUUGGUUCAAACAAAGAAAAAAAGACAGUCCCUGCCUCAGAAAUGUCCACUCUAACUAGGCAAGAUUGAGGAAGGAAAAACAUCUUGCUUUUUUCUCUGAAUCUAAGUUUUUUAUGGCUUAAGAGAAGAGUGCUUGGUCCUUUUAUAUUUAAAAUGAGUGUGCAAGCUAAUCCAUAGGAACCUCCUCAAAUGUUAAAUCAGAUAAGAGUUUAUUCAGGCCUUUAGUACACAGUAGACACAUUUCUUGCUAAUAAGGCUCAUCAUCCUAAUAUAGAAACCUUAUGUAGAUAAAGUGUAGCUGGGCAGCCAGGCUUCAGGCACAGGGACUAAGUGUUAAGGCAAGAAAUGACUUUUUCCUGGCAUGGCCCACUGCCGAUUGAACUGGAAUGGCAAUUAGAAGUUGAAGUGCUCAUUUAAUGUCAGUGAUGUGUAAACUACAUUGCCAUUGUUAUUUUAGUGCUGAUUUACAUAAUUGGCGUGCCCUCAAGUCACACUGCAUGCACUUUAAAUUCAUGCUAAAGCGCUACAGGAAGUCAUAAAAUUAAACAUUAUCUGAGAUGGAAUGCAAAGGGAAAAGUUUCUCUAUCACUCUCUUUAAAGAUUUCAUUUUAUCCUGGGUCACUUCUGCCCACAUCUUUAGACAAUGCAGUGAGGUGGAAGCAUAGUAGAAACUGGAGCUUGGCAAGGCGCAGAGUUGUCUAUUUGGGAAUGUUUGACCCUUUCUGUACUUAAAACGGUACAGCUGAACUCACUGAGUUACGCUGAUAUAACUUUCCAUAUAGACGCUUUUUCAGCUAGAAAAGUGGCUCAUUGGAUGUAACCUAAACCUUUCCAUUGCACUAUAAGCUAAAGGAAAACAGUACUUAUAUCAGAGUAAGUUUGCACAUGUGGAGAUUGAUAAUGGUAUAACCACAUUGGUUUAAAUUCACAACUUAGCUUAUCCUGGUGUAUCUUUCCUAUGUGAUCAAGCUCCUAGAUGUAUAAAAAGGGCUGAUGCUAAAGGAAGAAAUGAUGGAACACACUCUUAUUCAAUGUUGUUUUAAAUCUA